rnacentral:rRNA from 2 species
CGGGUGGACACUUCAAACUCUUGCGUAACUUUGCAGUCUGAGUAAACUUAAUUAAUAAAUUAAAACUUUUAACAACGGAUCUCUUGGUUCUGGCAUCGAUGAAGAACGCAGCGAAAUGCGAUAAGUAAUGUGAAUUGCAGAAUUCAGUGAAUCAUCGA